rnacentral:rRNA from 1 species
GAUCCUGGCUCAGGAUGAACGCUAGCUACAGGCUUAACACAUGCAAGUCGAGGGGCAGCAUGGUCUUAGCUUGCUAAGGCCGAUGGCGACCGGCGCACGGGUGAGUAACGCGUAUCCAACCUGCCUUACACUCUUGGACAGCCUUCUGAAAGGGAGAUUAAUACAAGAUGUUAUCAUGAGUAAGCAUUUUCGCAUGAUUAAAGGUUUACCGGUGUAAGAGUGGGGAUGUCGUU